CUUUCUGUGGCUCAUGACUACAGUGUUUUGCUGUAACAGCACAUACGAUUUAUGGUUAUGUAAAAUUCUGCCAUAUACAUAUGCUGGGCAUGUGAAGAAGUUUGAGGACAUCCCAAAAGAGAACACUGAAAAAUAGGAGAUAAAAAGCAAGCUCUGAGAGCCAGUCUCUGCAGAUUAAUCCAAACACAAGAACAUUUUGUGAAGCUCCCGAACAAUUGAAAUCUCAGAGUUUCAGAGGUGGGGUUUGGAUGAAUGUACAUCUUCAGUGCUGUUGCUGCAGCUGUUACAGUUGCAUAGAAAUACUUUUCCCAUCAGAGUUUCAAUGUAGAAAGGCCACAAGCUUCACUUUGAAUUGACACUGAGAAUUGUCUCUACUGAGAGAUGCAGAGUGAUAAGUGUUUUGUAGCAUAUUAAUAAGAUGCACCAAGCUUUGAAUUUGAAUGGGGGCUCUACUCACUAAAUAAACAAAACCACUUAUCUGAAUGCA
rnacentral:lncRNA from 1 species